CUGCUUAACACAAGUUGAGUAGGGAAAGUUUUUCGGUGUAGGAUGAGACUAUAUAGUAUCAGCUAGUUGGUAAGGUAAUGGCUUACCAAGGCUAUGACGCUUAACUGGUCUGAGAGGAUGAUCAGUCACACUGGAACUGAGACACGGUCCAGACUCCUACGGGAGGCAGCAGUAGGGAAUAUUGCGCAAUGGGGGAAACCCUGACGCAGCAACGCCGCGUGGAGGAUGACACUUUUCGGAGCGUAAACUCCUUUUCUUAGGGAAGAAUUCUGACGGUACCUAAGGAA
rnacentral:rRNA from 1 species